rnacentral:lncRNA from 1 species
CACAUCCUUAUGCGCAAACACUAAGAAACACACGCAUACACAAACAUACAUGUACACAAAAUUAAAUACAUAGCUAUGGCACUUUCACUAUACAUGUAAACACCCUUACACACAUACAAAUGUACAUGCGCGUGUGCGCACACACAUAUGGAAUUAGCUUUUUCUCUUCGUGGGAGGAGGGAAAUGAAAAGACCCAAAACAUUCAGAUUCCCAAUGGACACGUAAGAACCCCGUCAUGGAAAUAGGUCUGGGUUUUUUUCUCUUUUGAGGGAAGCAGGGCAUUUCUGGUUACUGUCGCCAUUGCUGUUGUGCCCCUGCUUACCAUCCCCCUGCACCCCCCCGGCCCCCGCCCGCCACUGCUAGGGUUUACAGGUCAUCCCUGGAUUAAAUAAGUGAUAUUGUGUUUUUUUUUUCUUUGACACAAAGUAAAAUUAUAAUUAAUAUUGAAUAAAGUAAAAAUGAACUCCUGAGUUCCAGUCCCUUAUGUAACACACCUGGUUUGUGGCAGGCACUCAGGAAAUAUUAGUUGCAUGAACGAAGGCUGCAUUUUCAUUAGAACAACAUGCAGUUCAACCCCUUCAUGUUUCAAUGAGGGUUCAGAUACCCAGAGGGCUAUGCUAUCAUCCUGGAGCCCACUCUGCUAACAAUUAGCAGAACGGAAGCCUUAAUUUCCAGAAUCUAGUGAACUUGAUGAGUCAAGACUAUUGCAAUUGGAAAUCUGUUCUCCUCUGCUGCUGCAUUCCCUGCUUAAUACUCAAGCCAGAAACCAGGAAGGCUGUGGCUUGCCUUUUCACUUCUUGUGUCCUGUUUAAGAAAUAUCUACUAUCCCAAGCAUCUGGCAUCUUUCUUGACACAUGUAGCAGUUGCUUUUUGACAGCUUGCUUCUUCAGUGAAUGAAUAAAUUAAUAAAGAGAAAUGUGAUGUUCAGUGAUCCAUUUUGCAGAUUGCAAACUCCUAGAGAAGGGCUCAACAGUGAGUGCUGAGGCUGCACAGAGGAGGAAGGCAGCACAAUGAUGGAAGGCUUCCUAAAGAGAUUGAGCCUCAUAUUUCAUAUCUGCCCCUGGCCUAAUGGUUGUUUACAGAAAGAGCUCAAUGAAUAUUGUUAAAUAACACUAACAAAGUUGACCUUAGAAUUGGAGUGCCUGGGUUAGAACCCUGCUGGUACCACCUGCUUACUGCAUGCUUCUGAUGUGAGUUCAGGAGAAGACACUGGCAAGGACAGCAAAGAACAGGAGAACACUCUAGCUUCCCUGAUAGCAUUCAAGGUGCUGUCCAAACUGACUGUGAUGGCACCCUCCAGACAGACAGCGAUGCCACAUGUUCAAGAUGGCAGAAUCACUAUCAGCUUCAAUUCCUGAAUGACUGCAGAGCAAAAUUUCUUACCCGCAACAUACACUCUAUUUUCAGCCUCCCUGGACUGUUACAUAAUGAUACAUAAAAAUAUUUCUUGUGUUGAGGCAUCCCAAAUUUGAUCUAUUUGUCAUCACAGUCUAUCCUCUGAAUAUAUUUCUGAUCCAAA